rnacentral:rRNA from 1 species
GCCGUGCUGAGCAGAUACCUGUCCAUGGCCAUCAGGGGCCUCGGCUUCCUAGUGCUUACUUGUACCACUGUCGCCCUUCUCGGUGGAUUUGUCUCUACUCUGCAGAGGAAGGACUUUUGGUGUCUUACAUUCAUUAUCCUUUGUGCAGAUAGGUGGGUUAGUGUGCCAAACUUCUUUGUAUAUUUCUGUUUUGAGGGAUUCUUCCUACUUAUCAAGCUUGGAGGUAUACAAAUAACAGGAUCUUCGAUGUUCAUCUGA